rnacentral:rRNA from 1 species
GACGAACGCUGGCGGCGUGCUUAACACAUGCAAGUCGAACGGAAAGGCCCUGCUUUUGUGGGGUGCUCGAGUGGCGAACGGGUGAGUAACACGUGAGUAACCUGCCCUUGACUUUGGGAUAACUUCAGGAAACUGGGGCUAAUACCGGAUAGGAGCUCCUGCUGCAUGGUGGGGGUUGGAAAGUUUCGGCGGUUGGGGAUGGACUCGCGGCUUAACCGCUUGUUUGUUGGGUAGUGGCUUACCAAGGCUUUGACGGGUAGGCGGCCUGAGAGGGUGACCGGGCACAAUGGGACUGCGGGACGGCCCAGACUCCUACGGGAGGCAACGGUGGGGAAUAUUGCACAAUGGGCGGAAGCCUGAUGCAGCGACGCCGCGUGCGGAAUGACGGCCUUCGGGUUGUAAACCGCUGUCGCCUGUGACGAAGCGUGAGUGACGGUAAUGGGUAAAGAAGCACCGGCUAACUACGUG